rnacentral:misc_RNA from 1 species
UGACUUCAGUGAAGAUGGUGG